GGGUUCGGGAAUCAGUUUCCCGGAGGCUAACGAGGUAGUCGGGCCGCUAUCU
rnacentral:ncRNA from 12 species